GCCUUCAAGGGAUUUGGAUGAUGCCCACCUGCUCUGGGGAAGGCUCACUGUCUUACUGAGUCCAUUGAUUCCUGUGCUAAUCUCCGCUGGAAACACCCUUACAGACACGUCCAUAAAUAAUGUUUAAUCUGGGCAUCCUUCAGCCCAGGCAAGUUGACAUAUAAGGUGAACCAUCACAUGGAUGUUUAGCUCUUACCAUGGCCAAUAAAUAAAUGCUUUGGAAGGUACAGCCGUGGCCUUCUCUGGAAUUGAGGACCCUCAGAACACUGCUGGCACCCUAGACCUUCCACAGAGCUUGGCCCAGUGAAUGAAUGAUGGGAACUCGGACGCAACAGCAGUGGUGAGAUUUGCUCGGGUCUCUCCUGCCCAAGUUAAUUUGCGUAUCUGUUGUAUGGCUUCCAAGCAAGUCACAAGGGGUUGUGGCUGACCUGACUGUGACACCCCCAGCCCCCACCUGAGGAAGAGGCAACAGCUCCGGCACCUGUUUCUGACCUAGGGGCCAGGUGAUGGCCCGGCUCCACACCACAUCAGGCCUGAGUGUGGGAAAGCAUUGCGGCCAGGAGCCAUCUGGGAACUUGAAACAGAGCCGUGCUCUCCUCCGAGCUGUCUGGUUUCAAUUAAACCCAUGGCUAAAACCUCCACCAG